ensembl:snoRNA
AUACUAUGAUGGUUGCAUAGUUCAGCAGAUUGGAUCAUUUAAGAGAGACACCAUUUGAUGUAUCU